GGGCAAUUAGCUCAGUUGGAUAGAGCGCCAGCCUCCGGAGCUGGAGGCCACAGGUUCGAAUCCUGUAUUGCCCACCA
rnacentral:tRNA from 1 species